ACGGAGAAAUUAGCACAUCGGAAUAUAGGAAUUUAGUUUUCCUCUCUUCUUGCAGGUUUUGCUUUGGAUUUUUUAGGUUGCCAGUCUUCUAGUUUGCCCCAAAAAGAAUGGGGAUCCCCCAAAUAAAAACCCUAAUCAUCUCAACAACCCUAAAAAACCUAACCCCAAUCCUUAGCCAAAUCAGCUCCUCCUCAAGAUCCCCGAGAUUGAAGGAGUUUAGGGUUUAUUAAAGGUCUCUCCUCGACUUCAGUUGUUCAGGCAAGGAAUGACUUCAGGAAGGGUAGAUUGGUGCCUGUGAAGCGUGGAAGGGCAACAUAAAAGAAGCUCCAGGGCUGCGAUUGGAGAUAAGGCAAAAUAAUAACUCAGUUUAGGGGUUAAGAUUACUCCUAGAUGCAGUCAGCUGAUGAUUUCAACUUUUGCCAGGAUGUGAAAUUCUUUGAAGGUUUCCUGGAUUCAAGGAGAGAUGAUCUGUUUCUGGGGGAUUUUCGGCAUGCAAUCAAGGCGGCUGGCGACUUAGGGAGAAGAUUAGGUGACAUCUAAUUUUAAGGAGAAGUUUUCCGACUGUUGA